rnacentral:rRNA from 1 species
GUGAGGAAUUUUCCGCAAUGGGCGAAAGCCUGACGGAGCAAUGCCGCGUGAAGGAUGAAGGCCUAUGGGUUGUAAACUUCUUUUCUUAGAGAAGAAUAUUGACGGUAUCUGAGGAAUAAGCAUCGGCUAACCCUGUGCCAGCAGCCGCGGUAAGAAAGAGGAUGCAAGCGUUAUUCGGAAUGAUUGGGCGUAAAGCGUCUGUAGGUGGCUUAAAAAGUCUCCUGUCAAAGAUCAGGGCUUAACCCUGGGCCGGCAGGAGAAACUCUGAGGCUAGAGUUGGGUAGGGGCAGGGGGAAUUCCCUGUGGAGCGGUGAAAUGCGUAGAUAGCGGGAAGAACACCAAAGGCGAAAGCACUCUGCUGGGCCAAAACUGACACUGAGGGGCGAAAGCGAGGAGAGCAAAAGGGAUUAGAAACCCCAGUAGUCC